GACGAACGCUGGCGGCGUGCUUAACACAUGCGAGUCGAACGGAAAGGCCCUGCUUUUGUGGGGUGCUCGAGUGGCGAACGGGUGAGUAACACGUGAGUAACCUGCCCUUGACUUUGGGAUAACUUCAGGAAACUGGGGCUAAUACCGGAUAGGAGCUCCUGCUGCAUGGUGGGGGUUGGAAAGUUUCGGCGGUUGGGGAUGGACUCGCGGCUUACCAGCUUGUUGGUGGGGUAGUGGCUUACCAAGGCUUUGACGGGUAGCCGGCCUGAGAGGGUGACCGGCCACAUUGGGACUGAGAUACGGCCCAGACUCCUACGGGAGGCAGCAGUGGGGAAUAUUGCACAAUGGGUGGAAGCCUGAUGCAGCAACGCCGCGUGCGGGAUGACGGCCUUCGGGUUGUAAACCGCUUUCGCCUGUGACGAAGCGUGAGUGACGGUAAUGGGUAAAGAAGCACCGGCUAACUACGUG
rnacentral:rRNA from 1 species